UUAAAUAUGUAGCUGGUACGCACUUGUAAUGGUUUUGUCUGUGGAUUUACGAGCCAGCGUAACAUCGUGACUCGGGUUGGGUACCGGAACCCGGUGCCAAUAUGGUACCGGUUCCAAUACAACCGGUGUUACCCGGACCGAAACGCAACGCACAUUUCGGUGCUUCUUUCCGGUGCCUGAGCCGAUUGAAAUUGAAAAAAACUAUUGUUGUGAACUUCUCUGGUGACUCCGCCCUGUCAGCAGGUUGCGAGCCUCUCAUAUGUAACUUUGACAGCGGAGGCUGCGCCGUGUGUGACGGCGUGAACCCGUGUGGAGCACACCAGCGUCAGGCUGGACGCGACGGGGAGACCGUCACCGGUCCCCCUGAACACGGGGAGACCGAUGAUGACGAGCAGCCUGAACUCAGAUUAGUACCGGAACGUUGAUUGCAAGUCUUGCAUUCAUAAAAGUAGCCCAAGAAAUAAUAAAUUAGCCAAUAUAACCAUGUUUAAGCUAGCUCGUAGCUAGCGCUAGCUACGAGCUACGAACGUGACAGUCUGCUAGCAGAUAUGUUGAUGUCCAGCGAUCCCGGCUGUAUACCCGGUGUUACCGGGAAUAUAACAGGGUGUCUGCGGGGCAUUAAAAAGUCUUAAAAAGUCUUAAAUUGCUUUUCCUAAAAAUAAGGCCUUAAAAAGUCUUAAAUUGUCUUAAAUUCAGAUUGGAUUGGUCUUAAAUUUUUUGGGUGUCAUGUCAUUACGAAUAUGAGGCAAUCUGUUCCGCCAGGUCCGUAUUUUGCUCCGGUCGCUCUGCGGUGUCUCUGGUGUCACCGGGGCCACGCCCCUUCUCUUAAAGGGGCCCCGCGUAUUCGGUCCCAUCCCCUACAACGUGAAGCAUCGGCUAGUUUAGAAAACAUCGGGGGGGAUGCAAGUUCAACAACGGCUUGAAAAGAACGAGUGUUUCUGGUCACGGUCGGUGAAAUGCUUCUGAAUCUGCGUUAUGUGUCGCGAGACUUUCCAGCGGUGGAAUCUCACGUAGAGCAAGAAGCACAGAGACUAGCGAAGGCCGCCAGCAGCCCGCGGGGCUAGCUGCUGCUCCGCCGCUAGCUCCUGCUCCGCCGCCCGCAACGACGUCAACUACAACGCUGGAGGUCACCGGAGGAAAUCCAGCGCCGUGCAACAAAGAGCUCAUCACCGAAGACCAACGCUGCAGUGCGUUCUUCAUUCUGUUCCACGAGACUCUGGACCAGACCACCGCGAGCAGACAGCUGGACUUCAUGUGCGUUAUUGGUGAAAUGACCACGUCCAGUCAGGAUCCUGUGGAGCUCAUGGGCCAUGACACCGCCCAGGACCUACUUCAGCAUCUCAAAGAGAAUGGAUCAAAUGUCAACUGGAAGUUUUUAUAUUAAUACAGUUUGAAAAGGAUUGUUUUCCUAGUAUAUUCACAAAAGCUCAGGAGUAGACAUGAACCUGUGCACAAACAUCCAUCACAUAGAGACAUGAGAACUCUCACUCACACACACAUACAUUCUAUUAUGUAAAUGAAUUUGCAUUUUAAAAGCAGCUGGAAAUGUUAUUUAUGUUGUUUUAUAGAUUUUUUUGGUUCAAAAGGAACUAUGUUGCACGUAUUUUAAAAAUAUAUUUAAUUUAUUUUAUAGACAUUUGUUCAUGGGACUUAAAUGUUCUGAAAAUGUUGUAUUAAUAAAUAUAAUUUUCAACAGCAA